UGGCAUUAAGCGGAAGAUCUUCAGUGCUUUGAAAUACGUGACUUUGUACGAAUCAAAAUGAAAAUUAUAUUUUUUGGGCUGCUUAUCGCAGUCCUUGUUGUGUUCGGUCAUGGAGAUAAUUCCAAUGAGCCAACCCAUGUGCCGGCAAUAAGUACGUUUGGAGACUUGAAUGCUCAUUUGUUACAGAGUGCGAUAGACUCAAAGGCAGCAAGUGAUGCCUCUGCGAAAAAACUUGAUGACGCCCAAGUUGAGAGUGCUAAGGAAAUAAAAGAAAACCGGAAGGAGGAAGAAAAAUGGGCUGAAGACAUAUCGAGCUUGAGAGCUCAACUGUCUAAUCCCGAUUUACCACCUGCGUAUAAAAGUAUUAUGCAAAGAAUUCUCGAUGUACUAAUUGAACGUGACCAGAAACUCAGGGAUAUCCGUGAUAAACGUAAUAAAGCUAUACAAGUAAUUGACGAUGACAUUAAAAAGUCGCGUGAGAAAGACGAAGAGAUGGAUAAAUUGUUUAAUCAACAUGUGCUAACCGUUAGAGAACGCAUAAAUAGCCCGAUUUUGUAAUAUUCUUAUUUGAGAGAAUUUAAAUAAAUAAAACAUUUCUUUGUGUUUUGAAUCUUCUUUAACUCUUUAUUGUUCUUCUCAGUUUGUUAGUUUCUAGGCUGCAACACAAAUGUAAAUAGUUAGCAACUGUUAAAUGUUUCGACUUACCCAGAGCCCAUCCUCAAGGUGAUGAUUUUAUACAGACAAAGUUUUGUUGCUUGUGGCUUUGGAGAUCGCCACAAGUCGUUUUGUCGCUCGGCUCUCUCGUUGGGACAUCAGCUACAAAUUUGGCUAAAGUCAAAAGUAGGCACAGGAAACAGCAACAGCAACUGCAGUUGAAGAAACACGAACAACGCCGGUGAACAGCAGCAACCAAUACGAACAAGGAGUGAAGCAGCGAAACGCCAAUAACACAGCGAAAAUUGUUGGCAGAGACGCAGACGCAGACGCGAGACACACACAUAGAGCUUCUCAACAGCAGCAAUUUGUGUUUGUGUGUGUGAGUGCGUGCGUGUGUGUAUGUGUGAGUGCGAGUGGGGAAGAUCGAAGCAGCAGCAGCAGCAUCAGCAGCGCAUUGAAGUUCGCCGAUAACAGCUACAGCAACAGUGAGAGCACAGGAGCGGGGGAGCCUGAAGAGCAGCAGCAUAACAUUAACAGCACUAGUGACAUGGCUAGAUCGUCUCGGCUGUUGACCCUGAUCAAGAAUAUAUAUACUUUAUAGGGUCGGAGAUGCCUUCUUCUACCUGUUACAUACAUUUCCUGCCGGCACAAAGUUAUAAUACCCUUCUACCCUAUGGGAAGCGGGUAUAAAAAGAUGGCUUGUCAAUCGGACAUUAAAUUUUGAUGCAUUCUUAUCUUCCCAUUCUUUGACAUUCACUGCCAUAAGAUGCAUCUAUCGCUAAAAUUCUGCAAGCGAUGUUGCAAAGCGCCACACACAGAUGGCGCUAAUUAAUUUGUUCUGUGGCAACUUUUAAGAUAGUGUAGAGUGUAGAGGAGCUUUGCCUCUCAUGCCAAAGUUUUCAUUUCUUUACACGUGUUUAUUCCAUGACAUUUGUCGAUGCUGAUUUUUAAUGUUUAAAACGUGUCUGGGGUCAAUAACAAAAGUGCUGAUAUUCACCACUCAAAGGCUAAAGAGAUAUCAGAAGAUUGUGUCGGCAGAUUACAUUGGCAGCCUUGUGGAUUUCUCGGCUUGUGUUGCUAUAUUGAUAAGCUUUAAAUGUGGUCGUAUGGUUCAUUUUUAGGGUAUUUAAGGUCUGGCAUUAAGCGGAAGAUCUUCAGUGCUUUGAAAUACGCGACUUUGUACGAAUCAAAAUGAAAAUUAUAUUUUUUGGGCUGCUCAUCGCAAUCCUUGUUGUGUACGGUCAUGGAGAUAGGCUUGAUGCGAUAGUGAAGGCCAGUAUGGAAGAUGCGAUAGACGCACACAAUAAAAGAAAUGACAGGAUCAAGGAAGACAAUGACUGGAGAGCAAAAGAAAUAGAAAAAUAUCAGAAGGAGAUUGACGAAGAUGAAACAAAAUUAUCGGAUAUAAAAGAUAAACUGACUAAUCCCAAUUUCUCAACUGAGGAGAGAAAUUUUGCGCAACGUUCUUACGAUGUAAUAGCUGAUUACAUACAAAAAAGAAGGGAGGAAUUUGAAAGAAUGAUAAAACUAUAUACCGAGCGAAUCAGACGAUCGGUUGAGGAAACUGAACACUUGAAUAAAUUGUAUGCCAAAUUAGUGAAUUCAACAGGUAUCUGACCUAUAUGUUUAAUCAACAUGUGCUAACCGUUAGAGAACGCAUAAAUAAUCCGAUUUUGUAAUAUUCUUAUGUAAGAGAAUUUAAAUGAAUAAAACAGUUGUGUUUUGAAUGUUUUUUAA